UAAAAAUAGUAGAGUAUAGAGUGGCAGGACUGGAAGGAAGGCUAUUAUAGAAUUCUAUUUCUACCAAUUUAUGAUAAUCCUUCUUCCAUAGGGAAAAGGUUUAUAAUGAAUAUGGAGGUGUUUGAGAUGAAGUUUUUUCUUCUAGAGGGAAAAACUAUUCAUAUUAGUAAUUGGUUCCCUACACAUUACGAAACCAAAGCUUUGAUCUUUUACUGCCAUAAAAGUAUCAAACAAGGAAACCACAGGGAAAAAGGCCGGGAAAAAGCUCAAGUUGGGGCCGGUAAAGGCAACACCGUUAGAACAGGAGCUAUUGAUCUCGAUUUAAAAGUCAAAAUCUUGGG